AGAGAGACAGGGUCUCCUCUGCUGCCCACUUGGAAGUGCAAGUGGUAUGAACACAUGAUCAUGACUCACUGCAGUCUUGAACUCUCAGGCAUAAGAGACCCUCCUGCCUCAGUUUCCUGAGUUGCUAGGACUGCAAGUACAUGCCACCACACCUGGCUAAUUUAAAAAAAGGUUUUUAGAGAUGGGGUCUCUCUGUGUUGCUCAGGCUGGUCUUGAACUCCUGGCUUCAAGCAAUCCUCCUGCCUGGACCUCCCAAAGCAUGGGGAUUAUAGGUGUGAGGCACCAUUCCUGGCCCAGGAGAUCUGUAUUUUUAUCCCUGUUUACCGAGGAGCCACAGAGAAGCUGGCAGUUAGCUACACUGUCAGAGCUCACAGAUAGGACACCUAUUGGGUGUGAGCCAGGGAGCUGACCUGUGCUUCUGCCCACUGUUGCUGCUCACACCAGUCUCUCUCAGGUUUGGCACUGUGUAGAGUCUGUCAGUAUCUGUUUUCUCUGCUAGACGUCAGGUUCCUUGGGGCAUGACUAGGUUUGUCCCAUUAUUAGCUACAUUUGUUGCUGAAUGAACUGACUGAUGCCCAGUGUCCUCUCUCUGGGCUACUGUGGACAGUCAGACCUUUAGGAGCUCUUCAAGAAUUUGACUGUCACUCAUCAUCCUGUUGACUGCUCCACUUUGAAGACUUGACUUCUCUCUCCUCAUGAUCCCACCAUCUCUAAGCCUGUGGAACUCUGCUCUGACCCUUUCUCAGCUCUUUGCUGUGAUGCCCUUCCUGGACUAGUUCGGUCCUGGGUAGUGCCUUCCUGUCAUCACCCUCAAUCUUGGUCAUUCCUUUUGGAUUUCCUUUGAUAACUCCUUUUUUUCUUCAUUGACUCAGUCAGAAUCUGGUUAUCAUAUGGAGACUGAGAACAUGGGCUUUGCUCUCAGCCAAACCUGGGUUCAAGUUCUAGAACGGAUACUUACUAGCCCAUGACGUUGCGCUAGUCAUGUAAUUACUGAGACCUCUGCUUUUUACUUGUGAACUGGGGGUUGGUAGGAAACUACCUGCUGCAUUAGGCUUUGAGCUUUGAGUGUACGGAUGAAGCCAGCUACUGCCACUCUCCUGUGGCUGCUGGAACCCUAAAGGCAGGCCCUUAGCACUGGUGAUGAGGAAGGUGCAUCCUCAUAAUGCUGGCCAUCUCUGUCCUUAACUGGGAGAGCUGCCAUGGUUGCUAGUGUUGAGCAGAUGGAGGUUUUCAGUUUUCACUUGAGCCUUCAUCCUAUGUAACAGCCAGGAGGAUACUCUUCUGAGCCUGGCGUGGGCCUGACAGCCAUCUCUCGGGGCUGUGUGUUAAAGUCACCUUUCUGAGACUUUGGUGGGAGACCAGCUGGGCCUCCGCUGCUGGGAGGAGAAUUGCUACCUUGGGAGCUUGAAGACCUUGGAAUGUGCAGCGACGUCAGCUCUUCUCAGCCCGUCGCUGAGUCCUUACUGUGUUCCCGUUGCAGAGCACGUGCUCUGCAUGGAGGCCUCAUGCCAUCCUUAGUUGGUGGAAGGGCUCAAAGACAGGCAGGGUGCUAGGGACUGAAUUGUGUCGUGUCCACCCCAGAUUCCUAUGUUGAAAUCCUAAGUUCCAUUUAGUGGUAUUUGGAGGGAGGCCUUUAGGAGAUAAUUAGGUUCCGUGAGGUCACCAGGUGGGGCUCUCAAGAUGGGACUGACACCCUCAUACAAAGAUACACCAGAGAGCUUGCUCUCACCCUCCCUGCUGUGAGGACACAGUGAGAAGGCAAUGGUCUAAGGGCAGGGAAGACAGGCUUUCUCAGCAACCUAAUUGGCCAGCACCUUGACCUUGGACUUCUAGGCCCCAGAACUGUGAGGAAUAAUUGUCUGCUGUUGAAGGUGUUGUAUUCUGGCCGCCUAAGCAUACGAAGACACCGGGUCAGUGGAGGGCAAGAAGGUGGCUGGCUCUCUGGCAGAGCAGUCAUUGAAGACUGGCUCCUUAGCCACUGGUGGCCUGAGGAUGUAUUUAGCUUGUCCUGCAUUUUAUUGGCCCACAUAGUGUUCAAAAGUUAAUUAUAAACAUGAAGAUGUGGGGAUUUAAAAAAAAUGUGGAUUUUUGUCACUUCUUGUAGAAGCAGACAUGUGCUGGUGCCCUGUGUCCUUGCACGGCUGUGAUUGCUGGGGUGGGCCUGUCUCUGCUCCCUUCCAUGCCCUCUUGUGCUGCAGCCUUCACUCUGCUGCUGUCUUUUCCGCCAGCUUCCUUCCUUACACUUAGCAUCUUGCCUUGUUCUGCAGGCCUUUAAGUUGCAAUCUGUGCUUUAGGAUGUGGCAGGAGAAUCAGCAGUCGGGUGACUGGGCACUUCUCCAUUGCCACAGUUAAGAAAGGCUUUUACUUCAGAAUUAUAGUGCUCUAGUAUGUUCAUCUCUGAGUAGAGCAAGCUUCCUUUUUUUCCCUUUCAUAUUCCUGGUGUCUGGAGUUAGCCUAGGCCUGAGUGCUUCCAAUGCUCAUGCAAAGCUUUUUCCGGAGGAAGAUUCUCCACCUUUUCACUGUGUUUCUUGGCUCUUCUUCUUGAGGGCAUAUGGUAGAGUCAGGAGCUGGCAACCUGCAGAAUGGAGAAGCCAGCUCCGCUGUCCGCAGCUGCUGCUCAUGAGCCUUUCAAUCUCUCUCCUGCUUCUGCUCUUACGGACGGACCUGGAGUCCUACUAGAGCUGGGCUCAUCUGACCAUUCAGCGUGCUCCAGGGGGACUUGUUUCAGGAUCCAGUCUCUGCUGUUUCCUCAUCAAUUUGGUUCCAUUUACUUAUUUUACUAGAAAAUUUUAAAGUAAAGGGUGAAGAAUAACCAAGACAAGUGUGAAAAAGAAUAAGAAGGGAGUUGCUGUAACAGAUUUUCAAACUUUUUUUUUUUUUUUUUGAGACGGAGUUUUUGCUCUUGUCGCCCAGGCUGGAGUACAGUGGCGCAAUCUCGGCCCACUGCAACCUUUGCCUCCCGGGUUCAGGCGAUUCUCCUGCCUAAGCCUCCCGAGUAGCUGGGAUUACAGGCAUGCACCACCACGUCUGGCUAGUUUUUUUGUAUUUUUAGUAGAGACGGGGUUGCACCAUGUUAACCAGGCUGGUCUCAAACUCCUGACCUCAGGUGAUCUGCCCACCUCGGCCUCCCAAAGUGCUGGGAUUACAGGCUUGAGUCACCGUGCCUGGCCCAGGUUUUCAGACUUAUUGUGAGGCCAGUGGAAUGGAUAGCCUGGAAAAGGACCCUGUAUAAAUGGGAACUUGGUAUAUGAGAGAAGUGUCAUACUUGAAAUAUGUAUUUAAAGCAAUGUACCAUUUUUAGGUAUAUAAGUCAUAAAAUAAUGAAAUUACGGAUACUGCAAGUUAGUGAUUGUCUCUCAAGAAGGGGAUUGCUUGAGUUCCUGGGUUCCUCAGUGUCGUAGAAACAUUUGUUUAAGAAGGAGGCACAUACAAACAAAUGUUAGUGUUUGUUAAGUCUCAUCAC
rnacentral:lncRNA from 1 species